rnacentral:lncRNA from 1 species
GUGAGAUGUGAGGCACUUGCAGAGACUCAGUCCACCACCCUGGGCAGCUUUCACCACCCUGGGCAGCUUUUCCGAGACGUAGGGACUGGCUUGCCGUAAUUCAUAGCUUCUGCUGUCCCUUGCUACAUACCUCCUGUUUGGUCACAAACUAGGAUUGCAGCAUCUGCUUGUAGGCUCAAAAUAAAGGGAUGGAGAAAAAUCGACCAAGCAAAUGGAAAACAGAAAAGAGCAACUUGCUUCCUGAAAAUUCACGAACUCUCAGAUCCUAGAUGAAAAUGAGACCAGAAGAUGGAAGAAUCUGGAUCUCAAAAGACUCUCACUCUAUUACCCAGGCUGGAGUGCGGUGGCAUGAUCUCGGCUCACUGCAAACUCUGCCUCCCCAGUUCAAAUGAUUCUUCUGCCUUCUGCCUCAGCCUCCCAAAUAGCUGGAACUACAGGCCAACUUUUCUACCAGAUAACCCUGACCUCAUCCUGUCAGAAUUGAAUGGACCAAGAAUUGAGCUACCCUAAAAGGCCAGUUUUCUGGAAAUAGUUUGAAGAUACCGACUCAUGGUUAAAUGUUUCACAUUUACCCUCAGAAAUGAGUGCUACUGUUCAGAAACGGAGGUGCCCACUUUGCUUGUGGGAUUUAGGAGGAAAUGCCACACACUGUCAUAGAAAAAAUGGCGUCUCACUCUAUUGCCCAGGCUAGAGUACAAUAGUGCAAUCUUGGCUCACUGCAACCUCCCCCUCCCAGGUUCAAGCCAUUCUCCUGCCUCAGCCUCCCGAGUAGCUAGAACUACAAGCACGUGCACUGUACCCAGCUAAUUUUUUGUAUUUUUAGCAGAGACGGGGUUUCUCCAUGUUGGCCAGGCUGGUCUCGAACUCCUGACCUCAGGUAAUCCACCGCCUCAUCCUCCCAAAAUGCAUUAUCUCUUCCCAAAAUGCAUUAUCUAUUUCAUUAAGAAAAAGGAGAAAGCAACCAUGCUAAGCUUCAAAUAAAAGCAUGUGAGCACACCUGAUGACGCUAGACCCACUGGAAUCUCGCAUAACUCAUCCUGAACGUGUUGGGAAUCAAGUCUCUCAGGAUUAGCCCUGGUAAUCUGAAAGUCACCAGUCAUCAAGAAGUGGCAUCUCUACCAUGUGGUGCAAUCAUAGCCCUGAACUCAAAUUUCUGUCUGAUAUAUUUGAUGUGAUCCCUCCUUUUAUACCCUUUUAACUUCUGCUUGGAGAGACCCACUGACCUUGUAGCUGACUGUCAGAACUUUUCCUUGCCAGGCCAGCAAUAAAUUUGGCAUUGUUUUGGACAUUGAUUUGGUGGUCUUUGUUUCUUAGUGCUCAACAAUUUUAAUAGAGUCAGAAUCCAG